CCUACGGGAGGCUGCAGUGGGGAAUAUUGGACAAUGGGCGAAAGCCUGAUCCAGCCAUGCCGCGUGUGUGAAGAAGGCCUUCGGGUUGUAAAGCACUUUCAGUGGGGAAGAAAGCCUUGGGGCUAAUACCCUCGAGGAAGGACAUCACCCACAGAAGAAGCACCGGCUAACUCCGUGCCAGCAGCCGCGGUAAUACGGAGGGUGCGAGCGUUAAUCGGAAUUACUGGGCGUAAAGCGCGCGUAGGCGGUCUGAUAAGCCGGUUGUGAAAGCCCCGGGCUCAACCUGGAACGGCAUCCGGAACUGUCAGGCUAGAGUGCAGGAGAGGAAGGUAGAAUUCCCGGUGUAGCGGUGAAAUGCGUAGAGAUCGGGAGGAAUACCAGUGGCGAAGGCGGCCUUCUGGACUGACACUGACGCUGAGGUGCGAAAGCGUGGGUAGCAAACAGGAUUAGAUACCCCUGUAGCC
rnacentral:rRNA from 1 species